UACGUAGGGUGCGAGCGUUAAUCGGAAUUACUGGGCGUAAAGCGCACGUAGGCGGCUCUAUAAGUCGGAUGUGAAAUCCCUCGGCUCAACCAAGGAAGUGCAUUCGAAACUGUAGAGCUUGAGUAGUUAAGAGGAUCGCGGAAUUCCCGGUGUAGAGGUGAAAUUCGUAGAUAUCGGGAGGAACACCAGUGGCGAAGGCGGCGAUCUGGGAACAUACUGACGCUGAGGUGCGAAAGCGUGGGGAGCAAACAGG
rnacentral:rRNA from 1 species